CCUACGGGAGGCUGCAGUGGGGAAUAUUGGACAAUGGAGGAAACUCUGACCCAGCAACGCCGCGUGAAUGAUGAAGGUCUUCGGAUUGUAAAGCUCUGUGAUGGGGGAUGAACACAAUGACGGUACCCCAAUAGCAAGCCACGGCUAACUACGCGCCAGCAGCCGCGGUAAUACGUAGGUGGCAAGCGUUAUCCGGAAUGACUGGGCGUAAAGGGGGCGUAGGUGGUUUAGUAAGUUGGCGGUGUAAUUCCGGGGCUCAACCUCGGCGCUGCCGCCAAGACUGUUAGACUAGAGUGCAGGAGGGGUAAGUGGAAUUCCGGGUGUAGCGGUGGAAUGCGUAGAUAUUAGGAGGAACAUCAGGGGCGAAGGCGACUUACUGGACUGUAACUGACGCUGAGGCACGAAAGCGUGGGGAGCAAACAGGAUUAGAUACCCGUGUAGUC
rnacentral:rRNA from 1 species